GUGUGACACAACAGUGCUGAGUGUGACACAACAGUGCAAUGUGUGACACAACAGUGCUGAGUGUGACACAACAGUGCUGAGUGUGACACAACAGUGCUGAGUGUGACACAACAGUGCAAUGUGUGACACAACAGUGCUGAGUGUGACACAACAGUGCAAUGUGUGACACAACAGUGCUGUGUGUGACACAACAGUGCUGAGUGUGACACAACAGUGCAAUGUGUGACACAACAGUGUCCUUUUUGUCACGAUAGGGCC
rnacentral:lncRNA from 7 species